GGAUGGGCAGAUAUACUCCACACCAAACAAGCCUACUUGAAAUGGAGCGCAAUGGUGUCCUUGCUCUGCUUCCAGUGGCGUUCACAGUUGUGGCCAUCUUUGCCAUCAGCACCAUUGUCACUGCAGAGCAGUUGCGCAGCCAAGAGGACGACAACUACGUAGGAAUCAACAAGGGGAUCCAGCCGUGCUGUAACCAGUGUGGUUUCUGCACGAAGUCCUUUCCUCCACUGUGCACCUGCCAUGAUGAGAUGUAUAUCUGCCCAUCCUGGUGCAAGAACUGCAAGAUGUCGCCGAAGAGGAUCUAUCCGCCGCUAUACAUUUGUCAGGAUCUCAUUGUCAACUACUGCGAUCACAACUGUGGCUUGGAAGGCGGAGCUGCCACAUCUGAGUAACUAGCUGCGACUAUACGCAGCAGUUUGGCCGGUGACCAUAUGGUUAAGUGACGGUCUAUCUACUAGGAGUGGAUAGCCUCUCUUCCAUCAUUUGCGUAGUGCUGCGAAUAAGUGUCACCCUAUCUAUAAAGAGCGUGUCGUGGUGGGGAUAUCUCCCCUCCAUUUGCUUUUUGUAUUAAGUGUUAUUUCAAUGUGAU
rnacentral:misc_RNA from 1 species